rnacentral:rRNA from 1 species
UACGGAGGGUGCAAGCGUUAUCCGGAUUUACUGGGUUUAAAGGGUGUGUAGGCGGCCUUUUAAGUCCGUGGUGAAAUCUCCGGGCUCAACCCGGAAACUGCCAUGGAUACUAUUGGUCUUGAAUAUUGUUGAGGUGGGCGGAACGGGUCAUGUAGCGGUGAAAUGCAUAGAUAUGACCCGGAACACCGAUUGCGAAGGCAGCCCACUAAGCAAUGAUUGACGCUGAGGCACGAAAGCGUGGGGAUCAAACAGG